rnacentral:tRNA from 1 species
UUCCUGGUGGCUCAGUGGUAAAGAAUCUGCCUGCAAUGCAGGAGACCCAGGUUUGAUCCCUGGGUUGGGAA